rnacentral:rRNA from 1 species
UACGUAGGGUGCAAGCGUUAAUCGGAAUUACUGGGCGUAAAGCGUGCGCAGGCGGUUUUGUAAGUCUGUCGUGAAAUCCCCGGGCUCAACCUGGGAAUGGCGAUGGAGACUGCAAGGCUAGAGUUUGGCAGAGGGGGGUAGAAUUCCGCGUGUAGCAGUGAAAUGCGUAGAGAUGCGGAGGAACACCGAUGGCGAAGGCAGCCCCCUGGGCUAACACUGACGCUCAGGCACGAAAGCGUGGGGAGCAAACAGG